rnacentral:rRNA from 1 species
AAUGAACGUUGGCGGCGUGGAUUAGGCAUGCAAGUCGUGCGGAAAGGCUCCUUCGGGAGUACUCGAGCGGCGUAAGGGAGAGUAACGCGUGGAUAUCUACCCCCUGGACUGGGAUAGCGGCGGGAAACUGCCGGUAAUACCAGAUAAUGUCUGCGGACCAAAGGUUUGAUUCCGCCGGGGGAUGAGUUCGCGUCCUAUUAGCUAGUUGGUAGGGUAAUGGCCUACCAAGGCAAAGAUGGGUACCGGGUGUGAGAGCAUGGCCCGGCUCACUGGGACUGAGACACUGCCCAGACACCUACGGGUGGCUGCAGUCGAGAAUCUUCGGCAAUGGGCGCAAGCCUGACCGAGCGACGCCGCGUGCGGGAUGAAGGCCUUCGGGUUGUAAACCGCUGUCAGAGGGGAGGAAAUGCGUGAGAGUUCUCUCUCACGUUUGACCUAUCCUCAGAGGAAGUACGGGCUAAGUUCGUGCCAGCCGCCGCGGUAAGAC